rnacentral:piRNA from 1 species
AAAUUGAAAAGGAACAGAGCAAACAAGCAG